UACGGAGGGUGCAAGCGUUAUCCGGAUUCACUGGGUUUAAAGCGCGCGCAGGCGGCUAUCCAAGUCAGUGGUGAAAGCCCGGAGCUCAACUCCGGAACUGCCAUUGAAACUGUUUAGCUUGAGUAUGAGAGAGGUGAGUGGAAUUCCCAGUGUAGAGGUGAAAUUCGUAGAUAUUGGGAAGAACACCGGUGGCGAAGGCGGCUCACUGGCUCAUUACUGACGCUCAGGCGCGACAGCGUGGGGAUCAAACAGG
rnacentral:rRNA from 1 species